CUCUGCCUGACUAUGUCUCUGCCUGGGAGGACAGAGAACUGCCCUCCCCAACUCGCUGCUCCCUUCUUGCCCAGGAUUUGAAUGGGCAUUGUUGCUUCUCAAGCUCUGGGCAAAGGAGAAAAAUCCCUGGUCACCUGUGCAGAACAGACGUGAGUGAGACUCUUACAAGGCCACCUGCCCAGCCCUGGUGGCUCCUAGUCCAGGACAUGGAAAAGGGGCUGCUGCCCAGAAAGCCAGGAGGGCGAGAAGACCUUGAGAAUGUCCAGAACACUGAGAACUGGAUUAGGACCUAGAGGCACUGGGCCCCUGGAGCCUCAGAAGGAUCAGAUCCAGAAAUGGAAUUGUGCUGUCUGCAUCCUCUCCCGGCCAGAUCAGUGCAGAAGUUUACUCUGUGAAUGACUCUCCUCUAUCUGCUGUCAAAAACUACCACCUACUUGAUGGCUUUAAACGGCAGAAAUUUAUUCUCCCACAGUUCUGGAGGUAAGAAGUCCAGAAUCAAGGCAUCGGCAGGGCCAUACUCCCUCUGAAGGUUCUGGGAAAGGGUCCUUCCCCGCUUCAUCCAAAGCGGACUCCUGACAUUCCUCACAGAUGGCCACAUCACUCCAAUCUCUGCCUCUAUCAUCACAUCGCCUUGUCCUCUGUAUGUGUUUGUCCCCAAACUCCCUCUGCCUCUCUCUUAAAAAGAUACACAUGAUUGCAUUUGGGGCUGCCCAGAUAAUCUAGGAUAAGCUCUUCUUUUCAAGAUCCUUAGCCUAAUCACAUUUUUUGCCAUAAAAGGGAACAUUCUCUCUUCUGUCACAUAAGGUGGCAUUCCUGUGUUCUGGGGAUUAGGAUGCAACCUGUCUCUCUGGGGCCACCUGUCAGCCCACCACACUGUUUUAUGAGUUUCUUAAACAAACAGGUGCCAUCUCUUGUGUAGAUCAAGGGAAGAGCCUCUGCCUGUCUCACAGGCUGGGCAAAACCGCCCAUAAUAGCAGCAUGACAUUUGAGGUGGCUUUUCGGCUUGUCACAGGAAUAUUCUCAAUAUGAAAAGAUAAGACCUUGGCGUUGGUGGGGAAAAUAAUGCUUCUGUCUUUCAGAGCAGGAGUGGCACAGAGCGGCCCUCUGUGCUUGAGGAGGGGAGGUAGUGGUUGUACUACAGAGGCUCUGUUGCUGGGUGGUGAGACUUCCCCAGAUGAGGGUGAGAUCAGGAUUCAAAAAAAAAAAAAAAAAAAGAGCAUGAAGGAGAGGACCUUAGGGGCCCAGCAGUUGGAUAGAAAC
rnacentral:lncRNA from 1 species